rnacentral:rRNA from 1 species
CUAAUAUUCAAAAAAAAGCUAAUUUAACCAAUAUUUGGUCCUUUCGUACUAAAAUAU